UGCAUCGGCCGGGAAUCGAACCCGGGCCGCCGCGUGGCAGUUCUACCACUGAACCACCGAUGC
rnacentral:tRNA from 1 species